rnacentral:rRNA from 1 species
CCUACGGGUGGCAGCAGUGAGGAAUAUUGGUCAAUGGCCGUAAGGCUGAACCAGCCAAGUAGCGUGAGGGCAGACUGCCCUAUGGGUUGUACACCUCUUUUAUAAGGGAAUAAAGUGCGGGACGUGUCCCGUUUUGUAUGUACCUUAUGAAUAAGGAUCGGCUAACUCCGUGCCAGCAGCCGCGGUAAUACGGAGGAUCCGAGCGUUCUCCGGAUUUAUUGGGUUUAAAGGGUGUGUAGGCGGCCUUUUAAGUCAGCGGUGAACGUCUGUGGCUCAACCAUAGAAUUGCCGUUGAAACUGGGAGGCUUGAGUAUGUUUGAGGCAGGCGGAAUGCGUGGUGUAGCGGUGAAAUGCUUAGAUAUCACGCAGAACCCCGAUUGCGAAGGCAGCAUACCGGCGCCCUACUGACGCUGAGGAACGAAAGUGCGGGUAUCGAACAGGAUUAGAUACCCUGGUAGUC